CCUACGGGUGGCAGCAGUGGGGAAUAUUGCGCAAUGGACGAAAGUCUGACGCAGCAACGCCGCGUGAGUGAAGAAGGCCUUCGGGUUGUAAAGCUCUUUCGGCCGGGAAGAAGGGAACUGGUGUUAAUAGCAUUGGUUUUUGAUGGUACCGGAAGAAGAAGCACCGGCUAACUUCGUGCCAGCAGCCGCGGUAAUACGAAGGGUGCAAGCGUUGUUCGGAAUUACUGGGCGUAAAGAGUUUGUAGGCUGAAAUAUAAGUCAAGUGUGAAAUCCCCGAGCUAAACUUGGGACGUGCAUUUGAAACUGUGUUUCUUGAGUAUCGUAGAGGGUGGUGGAAUUGUAGGUGUAGGAGUGACAUCCGUAGAGAUCUGCAGGAACAUCAGAGGCGAAGGCGACCACCUGGCCGAUUACUGACGCUGAGAAACGAAAGCGUGGGGAGCAAACAGGAUUAGAUACCCGUGUAGUC
rnacentral:rRNA from 1 species